rnacentral:rRNA from 1 species
UACGAAGGGGGCUAGCGUUGCUCGGAAUCACUGGGCGUAAAGCGCACGUAGGCGGAUUGUUAAGUCAGGGGUGAAAUCCUGGAGCUCAACUCCAGAACUGCCUUUGAUACUGACGGUCUUGAGUCCGGGAGAGGUGAGUGGAACUCCAAGUGUAGAGGUGAAAUUCGUAGAUAUUCGGAAGAACACCAGUGGCGAAGGCGGCUCACUGGCCCGGUACUGACGCUGAGGUGCGAAAGCGUGGGGAGCAAACAGG